UCUGUGUUUUGCAGCCUUGUAUCUCCUGGCAAGCCCCUCUACUGUGCUGCUCUAUCUGAUCUCCAGCAGCAUCAUCCACAUGGAACACAGCUCUUUAAAUAGGCAGAGUCCCACAUCACUGCCCGCUUCCCAGAUUUUGUCUGGAUCUUAAAAGAUGUGGAGCUGGAUCUGCAGACUGGUCACAGAGAAGGCACUGAGGUUAAAUACUUGGAGCAUGUGCUAAAGACAAAGCCAGGGGCUAAGAGACCUCGAUGGAAACAAAUGAUUUUGGACCAGGUAUUUACAAAACUUUAUACCCUCUCCAUGGAAGAAAAGAUGGAAUCGCUAGCUGGGAAGUUGACUGUUUUAGGCUGCUAGAAAGAAUCUUUGACCUACAUGAAGAUGGAUACCAGAAAGCCACCAAGCCACAGGCAGGCAACUUGAAAAAUUAGCAUAUUUUCACCUGUAAGUUCUAUACCUGUCACUGCUGGAGAGUACUCUGAGACUGUCAACAAUGAAUGUUUUCAG